AGACCUCAGAUCGGAUGAGAUUACCCGCUGGAUUUAAGCAUAUUACAAAAGCGGAGGA
rnacentral:rRNA from 1 species